UACGGAGGGAGCUAGCGUUGUUCGGAAUUACUGGGCGUAAAGCGCGCGUAGGCGGCUUUGUAAGUUAGAGGUGAAAGCCCGGGGCUCAACCCCGGAAUUGCCUUUAAGACUGCAUCGCUUGAAUCCGGGAGAGGUGAGUGGAAUUCCGAGUGUAGAGGUGAAAUUCGUAGAUAUUAGGAAGAACACCAGUGGCGAAGGCGGCUCACUGGUCCGGUACUGACGCUGAGGUGCGAAAGCGUGGGGAGCAAACAGG
rnacentral:rRNA from 1 species